CCCUUAGAUGUUCUGGGCCGCACGCGCGCUACACUGAUGCAUUCAACGAGUUUCCUUGGCCGAGAGGCCUGGGCAAUCUUUUGAACGUGCAUCGUGAUAGGGAUAGAUUAUUGCAAUUAUUAAUCUUGAACGAGGAAUUCCUAGUAAACGCAGAUCAUCAAUCUGCAUUGAUUACGUCCCUGCCCUUUGUACACACCGCCCGUCGCUACUACCGAUUGAACGUUUUAGUGAGGUAUUUGGACUGGACCUUCGGAGGUUCGCGCCUCCGUUGCUGUUCGGGAAGACUCCCAAACUUGAGCGUUUAGAGGAAGUAAAAGUCGUAACA
rnacentral:rRNA from 1 species